rnacentral:miRNA from 1 species
GUGUCCCUGCUGUCCUGUGCCCUCCUGGCUUCUGCCUAUCCCAGAGGGAGCACCAGAUCCUGGGCUGUGUCCCUGGCGCCCUGUGCUCCUGGGCCUGCGCUGUUGGA